AACGAACGCUGGCGGCGCGUCUUAAGCAUGCAAGUCGAACGGCAAGAGAGAAGCUUGCUUCUCUCCUAGAGUGGCGGACUGGUGAGGAACACGUGGGUAAUCUACCCUUAAGAUGGGGAUAGCUGUUAGAAAUAGCAGGUAAUACCGAAUAGGCUCAGUGCUUCAUAAGAGGCGUUGAGGAAAGGGAGCUACGGCUCCGCUUGAGGAUGAGCUUGCGUCCCAUUAGCUAGUUGGUGAGGUAAAGGCCCACCAAGGCGACGAUGGGUAUCCGGCCUGAGAGGGUGAUCGGACACAUUGGGACUGAGAUACGGCCCAAACUCCUACGGGAGGCAGCAGCUAAGAAUAUUCCGCAAUGGACGAAAGUCUGACGGAGCGACGCCGCGUGGAUGAAGGAGGCUGAAAAGUUGUAAAAUCCUUUUGUUGAUGAAGAAUAAGGGGAAGAGGGAAUGCUUCUCUGAUGACGGUAAUCAGCGAAUAAGCCCCGGCUAAUUACGUGCCAGCAGCCGCGGUAACACGUAAGGGGCGAGCGUUGUUCGGAAUUAUUGGGCGUAAAGGGCAUGUAGGCGGCUAUGUAAGCCUGAUGUGAAAUCCUGGGGCUUAACCCUAGAAUAGCAUUGGGUACUGUGUAGCUUGAAUUACGGAAGGGAAACUGGAAUUCCAAGUGUAGGGGUGGAAUCUGUAGAUAUUUGGAAGAACACCGGUGGCGAAGGCGGGUUUCUGGCCGAUAAUUGACGCUGAGAUGCGAAAGUGUGGGGAUCGAACAGG
rnacentral:rRNA from 1 species